UGAGACUCUGUGCGCGUGCAUAUCAAUAAGCGGAGGAAAAGAAACUAACAAGGAUUCCCUUAGUAACGGCGAGUGAAGCGGGAAGAGCUCAAAUUUGAAAUCUUCAAGGUUUUACCUUGACGAAUUGUAGUUUAAAGAAGUGUUUUCUGUUGAAGUUUUGGUAAAAGUUCUUUGGAAUAGGACAUCAUAGAGGGUGAGAAUCCCGUAUUUGACCAUUAUUUCCAGCUGUGUGAUACACUUUCAAAGAGUCGGAUUGUUUGGGAAUGCAGUCCAAAAUGGGUGGUAAAUUUCAUCUAAAGCUAAAUACUGGCGAGAGACCGAUAGCGAACAAGUACCGUGAGGGAAAGAUGAAAAGAACUUUGAAAAGAGAGUUAAACAGUACGUGAAAUUGUCAAAAGGGAAGCGUUUGACACCAGUGUUGUUUUCUCGAAAAUCAAUUAAAAAUGGCCGGAUUUUGUGUUGUAUUGACUUUAUCAGCUUUCUUCACUUUUUUCUUAUCCUUUUUAAUGCACUUUUCGGUUAACAAGUCAACAUCAAUUUCUUUUGUUGUAAAAGGGUAUGAGGAAGGUGGCUUUCUUUUCGGAGAAAGUGUUUAUAGCCUUGUAUCCUCUGCAAUCGGAGAGAUUGAGGUCUGCAGCGUAGAUCCUUCGGGGUUAGAUACAUUUGUGCUAAGUUAUAGCUUUUUCAUAGACAACUUGUUGACUAUAUUUAGUCUUGUAGGCUUACUCGCUUAUGCUAUUUUACCUACGCUUAGGAUGUUGAACUCUAUCACACACAG
rnacentral:rRNA from 1 species